UACAGAGACUGCAAGCGUUACUCGGAUUCACUGGGCGUAAAGGGAGCGCAGGUGGGCAGGUGUGUCGGGCGUGAAAUCCCGGGGCUUAACCCCGGAACGGCGCUCGAAACUAUCUGUCUUGAGGAUUGGAGAGGCGGGUGGAAUUCCAGGUGUAGCGGUGAAAUGCGUAGAUAUCUGGAGGAACACCGACGGCGAAGGCAGCCCGCUGGACAAAUCCUGACACUCAGGCUCGAAAGUAUGGGGAGCAAAAGGG
rnacentral:rRNA from 1 species